rnacentral:piRNA from 1 species
UAGAAUUAGGUUGGAAUCACAUCAUU